AUGGACCGAGAAGAAGUGACGAAGUUCCUGGGCCAGGUGCCCCUCCUGCAGUGCCUCCCCGGCUCUUCCAUACGUAGGAUUGCCGAGGCCGUCCAUGUCAAGCACUACGGCGAGUCGCGCCGUCACCCGUCCGAGUGCUGUAGUCGGCCCGCCGUGUUUGCCUACUUCAGGCGAGCGCAGCCUAAAUCUGGCUUGCGUCAGCUCAGAAACCUGGGGAUUAUAUUGCUCGUGAAGGUGAACCCGUAG
rnacentral:rRNA from 1 species